rnacentral:rRNA from 1 species
ACGUGUACGUACGCCUUACACAGGGGGAUAACACCUGGAAACAGGUGCUAAUACCGCAUAAGCGCACAGGGCCGCAUGGCCCGGUGUGAAAAACUCCGGUGGUGUAAGAUGGACCCGCGUCUGAUUAGCUUGUUGGCGGGGUAGGGGCCCACCAAGGCGACGAUCAGUAGCCGGCCUGAGAGGGUGGACGGCCACAUUGGGACUGAGACACGGCCCAAACUCCUACGGAAGGCAGCAG